CUCUUAUCAAGAGUGGCGGAGGGACUGGCCCGAUGAAGCCCGGCAACCAUCAAGUAAUAUACUUGAACGGUGCCAAUUCCUGUAGAACAAAUUGUUCUUACAGAUGAGAG
rnacentral:ncRNA from 2 species